CAGCCCUGCUGUGCUUACUGUCUGGCUGUUCCUGAGCUCCAAAGUCCCUGCAUUCCAGAAUUCCUGCAUCUGCUCCUGUUCCUGCCUCGCACUUGCUUCUGCUGGCCUCCUACAUUUUGGUGCCUUGUUCCGGCUCUGUCCUCCAGCCCUGUGCUCUUGCCUCCACUUGGUCACAACCAACUGAGCACAUGAUUUGUCGGGAUCCUCAAGCCCAUCUUUGGGAACAUCUGGGGUCUAUGCACACCUGGCAUGCCUCUGCAGUGCUAGUGUGUGCUGGCGAAGCCAUCUGAAGGCAAGACUCAGAAUCCUCUGGCUAGACCAGCAACAUUCCUCUUGGGCCGGUGGGAUCUCAGACACACUGCAUCGUGGAUAUGGUAGACGAACGGAAUACAAAAAGUUGGAAGGAUAUGUGGAUCAUGCACCCGCUUCCACACUUCUGUAAGGAGUUCUUAGCCCAAAGCCAUUUUGCUGAUAAAGUGGGAACAUCACAGCAUCACAUGCUGUGGUGAACUAUAUUGCAACGGCGUCUUGGAUUUCAAUGUACUUUUCCCAGCAGCCGACGCUCUGCAGAUC